GAUGAACGCUAGCGACAGGCUUAACACAUGCAAGUCGAGGGGCAGCGAGGGCGUAGCAAUACGCCUGUCGGCGACCGGCGCACUGGUGAGUAACACGUAUGCGACCUGCCCCCUACAGGGGUAUAACCCGUAGAAAUGCGGACUAAUCCCCCAUAGUCCUGGGUGCUGCAUGGCAUUCAGGGGAAAGGCCAGCCGGUAGGGGAUGGGCAUGCGGCGCAUUAGCUAGUUGGCGGGGCAACGGCCCACCAAGGCGACGAUGCGUAGGGGUUCUGAGAGGAAGGUCCCCCACACUGGUACUGAGACACGGACCAGACUCCUACGGGAGGCAGCAGUGAGGAAUAUUGGUCAAUGGGCGCAGGCCUGAACCAGCCAAGUCGCGUGAGGGAAGACGGUCCUACGGGAUUGUAAACCUCUUUUGUCGGGGAGUAACGUGCGGGACGCGUCCCGUAUUGAGAGUACCCGAAGAAAAAGCAUCGGCUAACUCCGUG
rnacentral:rRNA from 1 species